GAUGCAGCACCGGUGUUGCGAAAAGCGGCGCUGCGGAACACGUUCCCACCAGGUCGCUUCUCUCUCUCUCUCUCACUCUCUCUCUCUCUCUCUCUCUCUCUCUCUCUUUCUUUCUUUUUCACGUUGCGAGAGCGCAACUCCUCUCUUCGCACAAAACACAUUACACGAAGCGCUUCUGAACAGUGUAGAACGGGCUUGCGACGACGAGAGCACUAACUCUAACGAGAGUAACUAGGAAUUUUUAAUCCAAAAUACACGUACGCAAACAACAGGUAUGAAGUACUCACCGCAGCAGCAGCAGCAGCAAAAGGAAAGAAAGUCGGAGAGUGAAAUUGGUUCGGUUGAAUUGUCACCGAGCCAGGAAGCUAAUCAACAACGUGGCUCGAUGGCAUCUAUGGAAAAUCCGAAAAACAAUGGAUCUUCUUCAUCGAGUUCGCUCGUUAGAAGAACGAUCUGUCGUUCACCGUCGAGCGGCAUGUUCGCUUGGAUGCGUGUCUUUCGGUUGGCCUCGAUGUUACAUCAGGUCGGUUGCUAGAAUCGAGUCGUCGGCUUAUGUGACGUUGCAGCAGCAGCAAAAACAACAACAACAAUAGCAGCAGCAGCGGCAGCAACAAUCGUCAGUCGAUAUACAAUUUGCUACGAUCCGAAAAGUUUUACGGAUCGUAUUUAGAGAUAUUUUUAAAAAGCAGAGUUUUAACGAAGAUGUAACGAGAGUGACAGAUAGAUAGAAAAAGAAAGAACGAGAUUGUGUGAGAGAGAGAGAGAGAGAACAAGAACGUGAUAGAUAGGAUCGUGAAAGAGGGUGCGUGUAAAAGAAAGAGAGAAAGAAGAAGAUUUUUAACGUAUCGCGUUGUGAUUUUGGCCGAUAUAUAACCACCCCUUUUCCUUUCUAUAAACAAUUUCUCUUUUUUUUUUUUUUUUCUUUACCUAGAAUAUCUUUUUUUUUUUUUUCGUCUUCUUUUCUUCUCUCUCUCUUUUCUUUUUAUCUUCUUCUCUCUAGGGCCGAAUCUUCGACGUAGGAACGACCGUAGCUCGAUCAUAGUGCGUUACGCAAUUAUGUGUUAACAGACACGAGCGACGUACUAGUUACGAUCACGCCUACUACUACUACUAUUACUAUUACUAUUACUACUACUACUACUACUAUUACUAGCAGUAAUACUAUUACUAUAUCACUACCACCAAAUACUGUUACUAUUAGGUACGGAGUAACAAGUUUACUCUUGUUGUAACGGAUAUAAAUAGAAAAGACCAGUCAGAAAUUCUCGGUUCGUUGAUUGAUCGAUCGCAGAGCGUUGAUUAGCGUUGAUUAGCCAGCCUCCAAAUCGACGACCCUUUCUUUUUUAUUCUUUCCUGUUUAUUUCCUUUCAAUCGCAAUCCUUCAUCUUUGUUCUUGUUACCUCAAUCGUUUACGGAUCUCUGCCUAACCCAGAUAUACGAUUUUUUUUUUUCGGAUAUCGUCCCCAUUCUUUAUAUUGUACAUUCCAUUUAAUCUAUUUACGAAAGACGAGAGAUUAUACUAAUCUCUCUCUCUCUCUUCAUUUCAUAACGUAAUACGCGCGCAUGCUUCAGGUAUCUAAAAUUUCAAUGAAUUUAAUAUUCAAUUUUUUAAGCUUUACGUUUAUAUUUAUUUUCAUCGUGUAGUUAUUAUCUUGAUAAUCAUAUUUAUCAUCUAUUAUUAUUAUUAUUAUAUAUUAUAUAUUAUUAUUAUUAUUAUUAUUAUUAUUAUUAUCUUUAAGCAAUGUUACAACGUUGAAUCGUUACAUGAAUAUAUUUGAACACGAGGAGGCAAGUUUCGAGAAAUAAAGAUUUUGCUUAACCGCGUCAUGUGAGCUCACACUUUCCUAAGCCAAUCUCUUUCGAAGGGGAAUACAAAAAUGCGAACUUUUUAUUUAUACGAGAAAAAAAGUUCGUGGGAGCUCGGUAGAGUAGAAGAAGAAGAAGAAGAAGGAGAAGAAAUAAAUAAAAAAAAAUGUUCAAUCGCGUUGAACGAGAACCAUAUUAAGGUGCACCGAGUGCGAAGGUGUAAUUAGGUAAGAAGUAAGAACCAUUGAAGAGAAAUACGAUGUAGGAGGUGGAGGAGUUGUUGGAAACCUCAGCUAGCGAAAGUGAGUCAUUCGAGAAGAGUUUAAGUAUAAUACGCUUAUACGUUAAUAUGCGCGUUCGCAUGCUGUUCAUAUUUCCAACCAAGUGGAAAAUUCAAAAUGGUUAACCUGACAGGACGAAAGCACGCAAUGAACGACGGAAUCGGUAAAGAUUUAUAACGGAUAAUGAUCUAAUCGUUCAUUCUUUAACUCCUUCUCAUCGAGAGGAGAAUCGCGAGAAUACCUUUGCUUACGUAACGUUCAUCUAAUGACACGAAAAGGACGCUCUCUCUUUCUUCGUCCUACCACGAGUUUCGAUCUGUGUGUGUGUCUAUCUAUUAGACGGAGAAUAUAUAAUGAC